rnacentral:rRNA from 1 species
UACGGAGGGCGCAAGCGUUUGUUCGGAAUCAUUGGGCGUAAAGCGCGUGCAGGCGGCUUGGUAAGUCGGGUGUGAAAUCCCCGGGGGCUCAACCCCGGAACUGCAUCCGAUACUGCCUCGCUCGAGUCCCGGAGAGGAUGGCGGAAUUUCCGGUGUAGAGGUGAAAUUCGUAGAUAUCGGAAGGAACACCAGCGGCGAAGGCGGCCAUCUGGACGGUGACUGACGCUCAGACGCGAAAGCGUGGGGAGCAAACAGG